GACGAACGCUGGCGGCGCGCUUAACACAUGCAAGUCGAGCGAGAACCCAGGCUUCGGCCUGGGGGAAAGCGGCGAACGGGUGAGUAUCACGCGGGUAAUCUGCCCUCGACAUCGGGAUAGCCCGGGGAAACCCGGAUUAAUACCGAAUGGCCCAUCCGCUCUUCGGAGCGGCUGGGAAAGGUAGCUUCGGCCUCCAGUCGAGGAGGAGCCCGCGGCGGAUUAGCUUGUUGGUGAGGUAAUGGCUCACCAAGGCGACGAUCCGUAGCUGGUCUGAGAGGACGAUCAGCCACACUGGGACUGAGACACGGCCCAGACUCCUACGGGAGGCAGCAGUGGGGAAUCUUGCGCAAUGGGCGAAAGCCUGACACAGCGACGCCGCGUGCGGGAAGAAGGCCUUCGGGUUGUAAACCGCUUUCAGGAGGGACGAAGCCACUCGGGUUAAUAGCCCAGAGGGUGACGGUACCUCCAGAAGAAGCCCCGGCUAACUACGUGCCAGCAGCCGCGGUAAUAC
rnacentral:rRNA from 1 species